rnacentral:rRNA from 1 species
GAUGAACGCUAGCGGCAGGCCUAAUACAUGCAAGUCGAACGAGAUUGGUAGCAAUACCAUGAAAGUGGCGCACGGGUGCGUAACACGUAUGCAAUCUACCUUUAAUUGGAGGAUAGCCUCGAGAAAUCGGGAUUAAUACUCCAUAACAUUAUGAAGUGGCAUCACUAUAUAAUUAAACCUCCGGGGAUUAAAGAUGAGCAUGCGCAACAUUAGCUAGGUGGUAAGGUAAUGGCUUACCAAGGCUACGAUGUUUAGGGGUCUGAGAGGAUGAUCCCCCACACUGGUACUGAGACACGGACCAGACUCCUACGGGAGGCAGCAGUAGGGAAUAUUGGGCAAUGGAGGAAACUCUCGACCAGCCAUGCCGCGUGCAGGAUGACGGCCCUCUGGG